UACGUAGGUGGCAAGCGUUGUCCGGAUUUAUUGAGUUUAAAGGGUGCGUAGGUGGCCCUGUAAGUCAGUGGUGAAAUAUCUCAGCUUAACUGAGAGGGUGCCAUUGAUACUGCAGGGCUUGAGUACAGAUGAGGUAGGCGGAAUUGACGGUGUAGCGGUGAAAUGCAUAGAUAUCGUCAAGAACACCGAUAGCGAAGGCAGCUUACCAAGCUGUAACUGACACUGAGGCACGAAAGCGUGGGGAGCAAACAGG
rnacentral:rRNA from 1 species